UGUUCCCAUGAGCAGGCUUCAGGACA
rnacentral:piRNA from 1 species